AGAAAAAUAAUGCCGCCUAGAUGCCUAGCAGUGUUGAUAGCAAUCAGGUUGUAGACCUUUAUCCUAUAUAUGCAUUGACAGAUGCAGGGCUCAAAGGAGAAUAUAUAUUCCUUACAACAACAAAACAAGGAAACUUGCAAAAGCAAUGCCAAGAAAAUAUGGAUGACUUCACUCCGGAGGAGCUUCAUACUUGGAGUGUGUUUUAAGAAACAUGGCCAACAAAACCAUUAAAGUACGAUUUGUUUAUUGUCCGAAAUGUCGGAAGCUUCUAAAAGAGUUGAUCAAACAUCUGGUGAGCAAAGGUCAUUUUCAAACUUCAACAUGAUACUUGUUUUUUAGUCUGAUUUUGUACACAUUGCCCUUCUAAGAUAUUAGAAUUUUUUUUUUUUGUCACAUGCCUUUGGAACUUGAGGAAAGAUGUUAUGAGCAAACUAUGUUACCAACAAUACUUUAUUAACUGAGUUUUGGGCUGUCAGAAGGCAAACAUGCACCAGGUGGAAGUGUAGGAAGAAUAUGAAGGAUAGAAUAGAAUUAAG